CAGUAGCCGCGGUAAUACAGAGGGUGCGAGCGUUAAUCGGAAUUACUGGGCGUAAAGCGCGCGUAGGUGGUUUGGUAAGAUGGAUGUGAAAUCCCCGGGCUCAACCUGGGAACUGCAUCCAUAACUGCCUGACUAGAGUACGGUAGAGGGUGGUGGAAUUUCCUGUGUAGCGGUGAAAUGCGUAGAUAUAGGAAGGAACACCAGUGGCGAAGGCGACCACCUGGACUGAUACUGACACUGAGGUGCGAAAGCGUGGGGAGCAAACAGGAUUAGAGACCCCUGUAGUCCCUGUCUCUUAUAA
rnacentral:rRNA from 1 species